rnacentral:rRNA from 1 species
AUACGGAGGGUGCGAGCGUUAAUCGGAAUUACUGGGCGUAAAGGGUGCGUAGGCGGCUUGAUAAGUCGGAUGUGAAAGCCCCGGGCUUAACCUGGGAAUUGCAUUCGAUACUGUCAGGCUAGAGUAUGUCAGAGGUUGGCGGAAUUCCUGGUGUAGCGGUGAAAUGCGUAGAUAUCAGGAGGAACACCAGUGGCGAAGGCGGCUAACUGGGACAAUACUGACGCUGAGGCACGAAAGCGUGGGGAGCAAACUGGAUUAGAAACCCUAGUAGUCC